rnacentral:rRNA from 1 species
ACGGAGGGAGCAAGCGUUGUUCGGAUUUACUGGGCGUAAAGGGCGUCUAGGCGGGUUGGUCAGUCAGGUGUGAAACCCCCCGGCUCAACCGGGGAUCUGCACUUGAUACUGCCGAUCUUGAGUACGGAAGAGGAAAGCGGAAUCCCUGGUGUAGCGGUGAAAUGAGUAGAGAUCAGGAAGAACACAGGUGGGGAAGGCGGCUUGCGGGUCCGAUCCUGACGCUAAAGCGCGAAAGGGUGGGGAGAAACAG